rnacentral:piRNA from 1 species
AAAAUAACAUACAUGUAGACAGCAAAU